rnacentral:rRNA from 1 species
UACGUAGGGUGCGAGCGUUAAUCGGAAUUAUUGGGCGUAAAGAGCGUGUAGGCGGCCAGAUAGGUCCGUUGUGAAAACUGGAGGCUUAACCUCCAGCGGUCGAUGGAAACCAUUUGGCUAGAGUCCGGAAGAGGAGAGUGGAAUUCCUGGUGUAGCGGUGAAAUGCGCAGAUAUCAGGAAGAACACCCGUGGCGAAGGCGGCUCUCUGGGACGGUACUGACGCUGAGACGCGAAAGCGUGGGGAGCGAACAGG